GACGAACGCUGGCGGCGUGAUUAACACAUGCAAGUCAAGGACCGUAGCAAUACGGGACUGGCGCACGGGUGCGGAACACGUAGGCAAUCUGCCCUUAAGGGGAGAACAACCAGUCGAAAGAUUGGCUAAAUCUCCGUAAAAUCAUAGAGUGGCAUCACUUAUUGAUCAAGUUUUCUUAGGGAUGAGCCUGCGUCUGAUUAGCUAGUUGGCGGUGUAAUGGACCACCAAGGCUACGAUCAGUAGCUGGUCUGAGAGGACGAUCAGCCACAUUGGGACUGAGAUACGGGCCCAGACUCCUACGGGAGGCAGCAGUGAGGAAUAUUGACUCAAUGGGGGAAACCCUGAAGCAGCAACGCCG
rnacentral:rRNA from 1 species